rnacentral:rRNA from 1 species
AUGCACGCUGGCGGCGUGCCUAAUCCCUGCCAGUCGAGCGAACAGACGAGGAGCUUGCUCCUCUGACGUUAGCGGCGGACGGGUGAGUAACACGUGGAUAACCUACCUAUAAGACUGGGAUAACUUCGGGAAACCGGAGCUAAUACCGGAUAAUAUAUUGAACCGCAUGGUUCCAUAGUGAAAGACGGUUUUGCUGUCACUUAUAGAUGGAUCCGCGCCGCAUUAGCUAGUUGGUAAGGUAACGGCUUACCAAGGCGACGAUGCGUAGCCGACCUGAGAGGGUGAUCGGCCACACUGGAACUGAGACACGGUCCAGACUCCUACGGGAGGCAGCAGUAGGGAAUCUUCCGCAAUGGGCGAAAGCCUGACGGAGCAACGCCGCGUGAGUGAUGAAGGUCUUCGGAUCGUAAAACUCUGUUAUUAGGGAAGAACAAAUGUGUAAGUAACUAUGCACGUCUUGACGGUACCUAAUCAGAAAGCCACGGCUAACUACGUG